AGAGCGGGGCGCGGGCGGGGGACCUGCGCGCUCUCCUCUCGCCAGAGGGCGCUGCCGAGGUGCCUUGUUGCCCCCGACCCUCUACUGCCCCGUCCGCAGAGGCCCACGGUCUAGGUUGUGGUGAUUGUUUUGGUUUGGGUGUUUUUUAGGGGGAUAAGGGGGCUGGGAAUAGAUCCUCCCUGUGGAGUUGGCGGGGAUUCCUCGUUUCUGCCCAAGCGCCGCGGAAUCCAGCACCACCGGCCUGGGACAGCGGCAGGACGCCGAGACAGGUGCCGGCCCCGGAUUAGAAACCCAAACGGAGAAUCCUAGAUGUUGCUCCUACUACAUUCGCCAUAAUUGGCCUGGUGGAAAUGGGAGAAAAAACUACUUCUCACAAAGAAUCAAUUCUGGGAACUGGAAAAAGCAUAUCAGACCAACUCAAAACGUCUCCAUUUGAGGCAAUGUAGUGCUGUGAAAGGAACGUAGGCAGAUUUGAGUUUCAGUGGCACAUCUGAAACUUAUCCGCAGAGACUCUAAGCAAUUAAAUUCUGAGACAUUCUUCUCUGUGCAGCGAGACUACUCAUGUCUUUCUCCCAGGGGAGUUGUAAGACUUAAAUGAGGUAAACCACGCAGCAGGGGAGCCUAACAGCUCCUUUAAUAGUCCCCCAACUCCAAAAGGGAAAGUCCUGUGUAUCUGCCACAGAAAUCUUGGACCAUAUUUCUACCAAUGGAAACUGACUCUCUGUCCCGGGCAUUCUUAUACCAAUUGAUCCGGAUCCCAAUUAAUAAUCGAUUCUUGAAAGAGAGAUAUUUUUCAAAUUUUCCUUUAUUUAGACUGUUUAGAUAGGGAUCUUGCCUUGAAAAAUGAUAUGCAUUUUAAAAAACUCUUCGCUUCAGUGCAGGGAAUUGAGUAAGUUUAACAGGUAAGUUUGUUCACACAAAGGCAUGCUGAUACCACUACUGAAUCCAAAUGCUCUGAAACCAGCAAAUUAAAAAUACCAGUGAUAGGAUUUGCCACUGAGAGAGGGAAUUGGGGAGAAAAUAACACUCAAAAAAGGAAUGGACUAUGUCCUUUCAACAGAGGAGAAAAGGAAUAUGGAAGGAUAUAAAUAAGAUGGGAUUCUUUGUUCAGUUAACAAGGUCCAAUUCCUUUAACAAAAUUCGGAGUCUUUUUUUAAUCAUCAAAAAUAUGAGAAAACGGGUAUUUGCAAAAUCUCUUCAAUCUAUAUUUCAAUUCUGUAAAACCUACUUGCUACCUGAAAUAUCCCUGAGGUUUCUUUCUACAGAAAUUAACCCCAAUUGGAACAUUUUCCCUUUUAUAAUUAAAAUGUCGUCCUGUUCUUUCUCAACAACCUUUCAUUCUCUGAUUUUUCCACCUCAGAUUUGCACAGGACACUCUGAAGAAUUAUUACAAACAGGACCAAGGCUUGUAGCCUCUUGGGCAUUAAAAUUCCAAUAGUGGCAAUAAAUUUACCCUUAGUGGACCCACCGAAUGUAGCAGA
rnacentral:lncRNA from 10 species